UGUAGGUUUGAUUAGUAACCUAUAAUGAGUCUACUAUGGUAAAAGAAUGACUAUACUGGCCAUUGGCG
rnacentral:tRNA from 1 species